rnacentral:rRNA from 1 species
UACGGGGGGGGUAAGCGUUGUUCGGAAUUACUGGGCGUAAAGGGCUCGUAGGCGGCCAACUAAGUCAUACGUGAAAUCCCUCAGCUUAACUGGGGAACUGCGUGUGAUACUGGAUGGCUUGGAUUUGGGAGAGGGAUGCGGAAUUCCAGGUGUAGCGGUGAAAUGCGUAGAUAUCUGGAGGAACACCGGUGGCGAAGGCGGCAUCCUGGACCAAUAUUGACGCUGAGGAGCGAAAAGCCAGGGGAGCAAAGCGGG